rnacentral:rRNA from 1 species
CGGGUGAGUAACACGUGGAUAACCUACCUAUAAGACUGGGAUAACUUCGGGAAACCGGAGCUAAUACCGGAUAAUAUAUUGAACCGCAUGGUUCAAUAGUGAAAGACGGUUUUGCUGUCACUUAUAGAUGGAUCCGCGCUGCAUUAGCUAGUUGGUAAGGUAACGGCUUACCAAGGCAACGAUGCGUAGCCGACCUGAGAGGGUGAUCGGCCACACUGGAACUGAGACACGGUCCAGACUCCUACGGGAGGCAGCAGC